UGCNNGUCGAGCGGUAACAGACAUAAAGAUUCAGCUUGCUGAAUCCGGUGCUGACGAGCGGCGAACGGGUGAGUAACGCGUAGGAAUCUAUCCAGUAGCGGGGGAUAGCCCGAGGAAACUCGGAUUAAUACCGCAUACGCCCUGAGGGGGAAAGGGGGCAGUUUACUGCUCUCACUAUCGGAUGAGCCUGCGUAAGAUUAGCUUGUUGGUGGGGUAAUGGCCUACCAAGGCAACGAUCUUUAGCUGGUCUGAGAGGACGAUCAGCCACAUUGGGACUGAGACACGGCCCAGACAUCUACGGAUGGCAGCAGUUAAGAAUAUUGGACAAUGGGGGCAACCCUGAUCCAGGUAUACCGCGUGUGUGAAGAAGGCCCUAGGGUUGUAAAGCACUUUAAUCAGAGAAGAAGCAUUUUAAGUUAAUACCUUAAUAUGUUGACGUUACCUGAAGAAUAAGGACCGGCUAACUCCGUGCCAGCAGCCGCGGUAAUACGGAGGGUCCAAGCGUUAAUCGGAAUUACUGGGCGUAAAGCGCGCGUAGGCGGUUUAGCAAGUUGUAUGUGAAAGCCCUGGGCUCAACCUAGGAACUGCAUUCAAAACUACUAAGCUAGAGUACGAGAGAGGAGAGUAGAAUUUCUGGUGUAGCGGUGAGAUGCGUAGAUAUCAGAAGGAAUACCAAUGGCGAAGGCAGCUCUCUGGCUCGUCACUGACGCUGAGGUGCGAAAGCGUGGGUAGCANACAGGAUUAGAUACCCUGGUAGUCCACGCCGUAAACGAUGAGAACUAGCCGUUGGGCAGAUUUAACUGUUCAGUGGCACAGCUAACGCAUUAAGUUCUCCGCCUGGGGAGUACGGCCGCAAGGCUAAAACUCAAAUGAANUGANGGGGCCCGCACAAGUGGUGGANCAUGUGGNUUAAUUCGAUGCNACGCGAAGAACCUUACC
rnacentral:rRNA from 1 species